AUUGAACGCUGGCGGCAGGCCUAACACAUGCAAGUCGAGCGGGGUUUUCGGACCUAGCGGCGGACGGGUGAGUAAUGCGUAGGAAGCUGCCCGAUAGAGGGGGAUACCAGUUGGAAACGACUGUUAAUACCGCAUAAUGUCUACGGACCAAAGUGUGGGACCUUCGGGCCGCAUGCUAUCGGAUGCGCCUACGUGGGAUUAGCUAGUUGGUGAGGUAAUGGCUCACCAAGGCGACGAUCUCUAGCUGGUUUGAGAGGAUGAUCAGCCACACUGGAACUGAGACACGGUCCAGACUCCUACGGGAGGCAGCAGUGGGGAAUAUUGGACAAUGGGCGCAAGCCUGAUCCAGCCAUGCCGCGUGUGUGAAGAAGGCCUUCGGGUUGUAAAGCACUUUCAGCGAGGAGGAAGGGUUAGUCGUUAAUAGCGGCUAAUUUUGACGUUACUCGCAGAAGAAGCACCGGCUAACUCUGUGCCAGCAGCCGCAGUAACAC
rnacentral:rRNA from 1 species